rnacentral:miRNA from 1 species
UGAGUGUGUGUGUCUGUGCACACGCGCAGGCGUGCUAGUGUAUGUGCACACACAUGCAUACGUGCACAUUCA